AUUGGUAGAGCAACUGACUUGUAAUCAGUAGGUUGGGGGUUCAAGUCCUCUUGCCGGCACCACUUUUAUAUGAUAU
rnacentral:tRNA from 1 species